UAAUUUGUAAUAAAAUAAUAUUUUUGGUGCAUUUGUAAUAAAAGAACUGGAAAGGUAACGCAAGGCGCAGACGCCUGGUGAGCCAUUCUUUUCCUAAAAUUUUGGAUUUGGGCUUACUUGGACUUGGGCUUGGGCCUGGGCUUGCACUUUAGCUUGGGAGACCCAAGAGAUUUGUGUUGUCAACCGAUAACCAUAAGCUUAAGCUACCAAAACAUUCGAGCAGAAGAAGAAGACGACAACGAUGUCGACUGCGAUCGCCGACAGUGGCCAUGAGUUCGAAUUCUUUGAAAGAAGUAAGUAGGCUACUAAAUGGGGUUUCUCUAGUUGCCUGCGAAUUGGCCAGACACGAUCUUUAGUCCCUUCUCAAGAAAGCUCGGCCUCAUCCGAGGUAAGCUGUCAAACCUCUGAUUGCAGCGCCAGCAAAGAAGAGGCAGAAGCCCAGAGAAAGAUGAGUUCCUUGUACCAAUUUUCUAAAGUUUUAAUUUUAGCAGUUAAAUUUUCGAAUUUCUAAUUUAAACACACAGAUGUUGCUAUCAUCUGAAAUUAUUUUCUCCUGAUUUAUUUCAUGAAAAUUUUAGUUUUUAUGCAAAA